AGGACGAACGCUGGCGGCGCGCCUAAUACAUGCAAGUCGAACGGGUUGCCUUCGGGCAGCCAGUGGCGGACGGGUGAGUAACACGUGGGUGACCUGCCCUGAAGUGGGGAAUAACGCGGCGAAAGUCGCGCUAGUACCGCAUAUCUUUCGGUCUUCGUUGGUCGAAAGAAAGCUUAAUGCGCUUCAGGAGGGGCCUGCGGCCGAUUAGCUAGUCGGAGGGUAACGGCCACGAGGCAUCGAUCGGUAGCUGGUCUGAGAGGAUGACCAGCCACACUGGGACUGAGACACGGCCCAGACUCCUACGGGAGGCAGCAGUAAGGAAUCUUCCGCAAUGGGCGCAAAGCCUGACGGAGCGACGCCGCGUGCAUGACGAAGCCCUUCGGGGUGUAAAAAUGACUCUUCUGGGGACGACACAAGACGGUGCCCCAGGAAGAAGCCUACGGCUAACUACGUGCCCAGCAGCCGC
rnacentral:rRNA from 1 species